UACGAGGGGGGCGAGCGUUGUUCGGAAUUAUUGGGCGUAAAGGGCGCGUAGGCGGCCGCCUAAGUCAGACGUGAAAUCCCUCGGCUCAACCGGGGAACUGCGUCUGAUACUGGGUGGCUUGAAUCCGGGAGAGGGAUGCGGAAUUCCAGGUGUAGCGGUGAAAUGCGUAGAUAUCUGGAGGAACACCGGUGGCGAAGGCGGCAUCCUGGACCGGCAUUGACGCUGAGGCGCGAAAGCCAGGGGAGCAAACGGG
rnacentral:rRNA from 1 species